AUGGCCAACUCAAACGAUCUAUGGGAGAAGAAGCUGCAGGAUCCAAGUGCAACACCAGUGCCUCUGCCAUUUGAAUUUCUGAAAGCCAUUACAUGUGAUUUUUCCAGCGGGCAGGAACUCGGCAGAGGCGAGCAUGGAGUGGUUUACAAGGGAGUUCUUCCGAGUGGAAAAUUUAUUGCCGUGAAGAAGCUUUUUCAAACACAUCUGAUGGAUGAUAAGAGAUUCCAGAAUGAGCUCAGUUCUCUUAUGGGGAUCAAGCACCAAAAUGUAGUGCAGCUUAUUGGUUACUGUGCCGAAACAAGUUUCGAAAUGGUGAACCUCCAAGGUAGUGGGAAACAUAUUAUGGAUGAAAUACCAAAGAGAUUGCUUUGCUUUGAAUAUGUAGGCAACAAAAGCCUUCAUUACUAUAUCUCAGAUGGUACUUUUGACCUCGAGUGGGAUAUGAGAUAUGAAAUAAUAAGGGGUAUUUACGAUGGUUUGCAUUACCUUCAUGAGGAAUGCCAUACUGUUCAUCUCAACCUGAAACCUGGAAACAUAUUGAUGGAUGCUACAAUGGUUCCGAAAAUAGCGAAUUUUGGUUUAUCAAGGAUCUUUGGUGACAAGCAAUCCCGAAUCAUCACUGAAAAUCGUCCAGGAACACUCGGAUAUAUGGCCCCAGAAUACUCCUUUCAAGGCAUAGUCUCCAUGAAGGCAGAUAUAUUCAGUUUGGGUAUUAUUAUGAUUGAGAUAGUCACAGGUCUUGGAGACUAUCCCCUGACUGCUAUUCCAUAUAUGGAGCACUUCAAUCAAGACGGCAGUUUCCAGAGUACCGACACGUCCUUCGAACACUACUACAAAGAGAAAAUAAGAUUAAGUACUCAGGCUCUUGCAAAUAUAUAUCAUACUUGGAGGAAUAGGCUGGAGAAGUCGCAGGGAGCCACAGAAAAAUUGGAACAAAUUCGUGCGUGCGUUGAAUUAGGACUAGAAUGCACUGAAAUCAACCCAUAUAAAAGACCAGCCACACAGCAUAUAAUGGAUAGGCUUGAAAAAGUCAAUAUUACAGACGAAUACCAUAAAGCCGGUGAGAGUAUUUCGGCAGUAGCACAGGCAGGAGAAUCUUCCACUUCCAAUGCUCUGCAUCGAGGAGAUACCGGUACCAUUGUUGAGAUUGAGAAGGCGUCAAUACUACCGGCAAAGGUUAAGGAAUUUGUACAGGUUCAAGUAUCUGCGGUCAGCAUUCCAGCAAGUGAAAAUGACAUUCCCAUCCCAAAGGAAGACAAAUCAACAUCUCUUGUUGUUCCGGAUGCUUUUCGUUGCGCAAGAUCACUUGGUUUAAUGAAAGACCCGGUUAUGGUGGCCACUGGGCAGACUUACGACCGAGGCAGCAUAGUGAGAUGGUUGGACGCCGGGCACGACACUUGUCCGAGGACGAAGCAGAAGCUUGCUAACAAAUUUCUAACUCCAAAUUAUGCUCUUUACGGCCUGAUUGUCCAAUGGUGUCGAGCAAACGGUUUGGAGCAGCCGAAACGCUCUGCUCAAGUUAGCAGUGAUGACGGUGAUGCAACGCCGGCAUCACUCGCCUAUUCUGAGCAAGAUGUAGUUGCGGGCCUUGUUCGGAGACUAUCAUCCCAAAAUGUUGUAGACCAACGUGAAGCUGCCGGUAUGCUUCGUCUGCUUGCCAAGGGCAAUUCUAAAUAUCAAGCAUGUAUAGGAGAUUCUGGCGGCAUUCCUAUCCUGGUGAACCUUUUAUGGAUGGAUGAUAUCAGCACCCAGGAACAUGUUGUUACUGCUCUCCUGGAUUUCUCUGUUUCUAAUUACGAGAACAAGGAAAAAUUGGUCUCGGCCGGAGCUAUUCCUGGAGUUGUAUACGUGCUAGAGAAGGGCAGCAUGGUUGCCCGGGAGAAUGCUGCUGCAAUGUUGUCCAGCCUAUCCACUGGAAAAGAAAGCAUGCUGAUCAUUGGGGCCGCUGGAUCAAUUCCGCCUCUCAUCCUGCUGUUGACUACUGGGAGUCAACAGGGUAAAACGAAUGCUGCGGAAACACUAAUGGAUCUGUUCGUCGAGGCGGACAACAAGAGUAUAGCUAUUAGAGCCGGGUUCGUCCCUGUACUGCUAGAGCUUCUAACAGGAACCGAGGAUGGAAUCGAUUCCAUCUUUAUGUUGGCAAUUUUUUCCAAGCAUCCUGAGGGAAAGGCGGCUAUUGCUGCUGCUGCUGCUGCUAAUGCUGCUGCCAUACCAAUGCUGGUUGGAGUUAUCAGAAAUGGAUCCCAAGGCAAAAGCGAAACGGAAUGGGCGCUUACUAUUCUGGCGCGCAUCUGUGGUGGCCAAGGCAAACAGCAGAAACAAUGUCUUGCUGAAGCACGGGAGAAUGGCCUCGCGUCCUUGCUGGUGGAGCUAGCAGAAAGUCACUCAAGCUCAAGCAGAGGCAGAUUGGAAGCCAGAGAUCUGCUAGCACUACUCAGAAGCGAUUGCUGA
rnacentral:rRNA from 1 species